AGUGAACGCUGGCGGUAGGCCUAACACAUGCGAGUCGAACGGCAGCACAGUAAGAGCUUGCUCUUACGGGUGGCGAGUGGCGGACGGGUGAGGAAUACAUCGGAAUCUACUUUUUCGUGGGGGAUAACGUAGGGAAACUUACGCUAAUACCGCAUACGACCUACGGGUGAAAGCAGGGGAUCUUCGGACCUUGCGCGAUUGAAUGAGCCGAUGUCGGAUUAGCUAGUUGGCGGGGUAAAGGCCCACCAAGGCGACGAUCCGUAGCUGGUCUGAGAGGAUGAUCAGCCACACUGGAGCUGAGACACGGUCCAGACUCCUACGGGAGGCAGCAGUGGGGAAUAUUGGACAAUGGGCGCAAGCCUGAUCCAGCCAUACCGCGUGGGUGAAGAAGGCCUUCGGGUUGUAAAGCCCUUUUGUUGGGAAAGAAAAGCAGCAGGUUAAUACCCCGCUGUUCUGACGGUACCCAAAGAAUAAGCACCGGCUAACUUCGUG
rnacentral:rRNA from 1 species